AGGGCACCACCAGGAGUGGAGCCUGCGGCUUAAUUUGACUCAACACGGGAAACCUCACCCGGCCCGGACACGGACAGGAUUGACAGAUCGAUAGCUCUUUCUCGAUUCCGUGGGUGGUGGUGCAUGGCCGUUCUUAGUUGGUGGAGCGAUUUGUCUGGUUAAUUCCGAUAACGAACGAGACUCUGGCAUGCUAACUAGUUACGCGACCCCCCGAGCGGUCGGCGUCCCCCAACUUCUUAGAGGGACAAGUGGCGUUCAGCCACCCGAGAUUGAGCAAUAACAGGUCUGUGAUGCCCUUAGAUGUCCGGGGCUGCACGCGCGCUACACUGACUGGCUCAGCGUGUGCCUACCCUACGCCGGCAGGCGCGGGUAACCCGUUGAACCCCAUUCGUGAUGGGGAUCGGGGAUUGCAAUUAUUCCCCAUGAACGAGGAAUUCCCAGUAAGUGCGGGUCAUAAGCUUGCGUUGAUUAAGUCCCUGCCCUUUGUACACACCGCCCGUCGCCACUACCGAUUGGAUG
rnacentral:rRNA from 1 species